rnacentral:rRNA from 1 species
GACGAACGCUGGCGGCGUGCUUAACACAUGCAAGUCGAACGGAAAGGCCUCUUUCGGGGGGUACUCGAGUGGCGAACGGGUGAGUAACACGUGAGUAACCUGCCCUUGACUUUGGGAUAACUUCAGGAAACUGGGGCUAAUACCGGAUAGGAGCUCCUGCUGCAUGGUGGGGGUUGGAAAGUUUCGGCGGUUGGGGAUGGACUCGCGGCUUAUCAGCUUGUUGGUGGGGUAGUGGCUUACCAAGGCUUUGACGGGUAGCCGGCCUGAGAGGGUGACCGGCCACAUUGGGACUGAGAUACGGCCCAGACUCCUACGGGAGGCAGCAGUGGGGAAUAUUGCACAAUGGGUGGAAGCCUGAUGCAGCAACGCCGUGUGCGGGAUGACGGCCUUCGGGUUGUAAACCGCUUUCGCUCAUGACGAAGCUUUGCGCGACGGUAGUGGGUAAAGAAGCACCGGCUAACUACGUG